UUGGAGGGCAAGUCUGGUGCCAGCAGCCGCGGUAAUUCCAGCUCCAAUAGCGUAUAUUAAAGUUGUUGCAGUUAAAAAGCUCGUAGUUGAACUUCGGGGUUUACCCAUUGGUCAGGCUUAAUUGUCUGUACUGGUGAGAUGAAUCUCUACCUUCUGAGGAACUUUCAUGCCAUUUAUUUGGUGUGAUGGGAAAUCAGGACUGUUACUUUGAAAAAAUUAGAGUGUUUAAAGCAGGCUAACGUCUGAAUGCAUUAGCAUGGAAUAAUGAAAUAGGACGGACUGAUUCUAUUUCGUUGGUUUCUAGGAUCACCGUAAUGAUUAAUAGGGAUAGUUGGGGGCAUUAGUAUUCAAUUGUCAGAGGUGAAAUUCUUGGAUUUAUUGAAGACUAACUACUGCGAAAGCAUUUGCCAAGGAUGUUUUCAUUAAUCAAGAACGAAAGUUAGGGGAUCGAGGACGAUCAGAUACCGUCGUAGUCUUAACCAUAAACUAUGCCGACUAGGGAUCGGACGAGGUUAAUUUUAUAAUGACGCGUUCGGCGCCUUACGGGAAAC
rnacentral:rRNA from 1 species